UAGAGAUACCAGGUUAAUAUCAGGAGAAAGAUCUGGGCUUAGAUCACACACACACACACACACACACACACACACACACACACACAUAAAUGCAUAUACAGUCAUGUGUUGCUUAACGACAGGGAUGUUGUUAGGCAAUUUCAGUGUAAACAGUACAGAGUAUGUAUGUAGUUCUCAUGCAAACCUAGAUACUAUAACCUACUGCUCCUAGGCUACAAAAUUGUACAAAAUAGUGGUCCUAGAGAUGCCUAUAUAAAUAAAAGAGAUUGUCUAAAAAAUAUCCCUGGUGAAGACGUCUAAUAGACAGUUACAUAUAUAAGUCUAGAGUUAACGGAGAUGUCUGGAAGGGGAUAAAGAUUUAUGAGGCAUUAGCAUUUAAAUUGUGGUGAAAGUCAUGGGAAUGGAUGAGAUUUCCCAGGGAGAUUGCAACAUGAGGCGAGGAUAAAGUGGAGAGCGAAGAAACACCAAAAUGUAAAUUGAGGAAUUGGAAGUGAUGGGAUCUAAGGCACAGGUGCCAGAGUGAGCCUUGGAAAGGAGAAAUCUGUAAUUGUUAACUCCUGACAGUCCUCCCAAAAGGAAGCCUUACAGAGCCCUUGCAUGGAUUAUUUUAAACACUGAGACAAAAAUAAUAAUAAUUUUUUUGACGGCAGACUUCAUGGAAAACCUGGAUAAUCCGACAUUCUGACAUUUCUUAA
rnacentral:lncRNA from 1 species